rnacentral:rRNA from 1 species
UACGUAGGUGGCAAGCGUUAUCCGGAAUUAUUGGGCGUAAAGAGCGCGCAGGUGGUUGAUUAAGUCUGAUGUGAAAGCCCACGGCUUAACCGUGGAGGGUCAUUGGAAACUGGUCAACUUGAGUGCAGAAGAGGAGAGUGGAAUUCCAUGUGUAGCGGUGAAAUGCGUAGAUAUAUGGAGGAACACCAGUGGAGAAGGCGACUCUCUGGUCUGUAACUGACGCUGAGGCGCGAAAGCGUGGGGAGCAAACAGGAUUA